rnacentral:rRNA from 1 species
CCUACGGGAGACAGCAGUGAGGAAUAUUGGUCAAUGGCCGGAAGGCUGAACCAGCCAAGCCGCGUGAAGGAAGACGGUGCCAAGCAUUGUAAACUUCUUUUGUCAAGGGACAAAACCAGGCACGAGAGCCUGACGGAGGGUACUUGAAAGAAAAGCAUCGGCUAACUCCGUGCCAGCAGCCGCGGGAAUACGGGGGAUGCGAGCGUUAUCCGGAUUUAUUGGGUUUAAAGGGUGCGUAGGCGGACUUUUAAGUCAGCGGUAAAAGGCCGGGGCUCAACCCCGGCGAGCCGUUGAAACUGGCUGUCUUGAGAUGUCGAGAGGUAUGCGGAAUGCGCGGUGUAGCGGUGAAAUGCUUAGAUAUUGCGCAGAACUCCGAUUGCGAAGGCAGCAUACCGGCGGCCAUCUGACGCUGAGGCACGAAAGCGUGGGUAUCGAACAGGAUUAGAUACCCGGGUAGUC